rnacentral:rRNA from 1 species
UACGUAGGGCGCAAGCGUUGUCCGGAUUCACUGGGUGUAAAGGGUGCGUAGGCGGGAAGGUAAGUCCGCGGUGAAAUCUCACAGCUCAACUGUGAAACUGCCGUUGAUACUGCUUUUCUUGAGUUCGGGAGAGGUUGAUGGAAUUCCAGGUGUAGCGGUGAAAUGCGUAGAUAUCUGGAAGAACACCAGUGGCGAAGGCGGUCAACUGGCCCGUAACUGACGCUGAGGAGCGAAAGCGUGGGGAGCGAACAGG